GGAACUGAGAUAGGCGGGAAACCCCGGGACAGGUGUCCCCGCGGGAGCUAAGAGCUGCUAGGCGGCCACUACCAAGUCGCCCUUCUUGGGUCCUCAGUGAAGUUCCCUGUGUGUUGCAGAUUCCCGCCAGUUUCUCACCGACCAGGCCAGAUGCACCUGAGACUCCGGGUGAGCGAGUGUGCGGCUCAACCUCUCCUUCAGCUUCCACAGAGAUGUGGGGUGUUGUGUAGUGGGAGAAGAACGAGACUGCAAGAAAGGCCACAAAUAAUGGUCUGAGGACUCCAGUAUUUCUUACCACCCUGAGAACUCAAGAAUCCGGAAUCAAACAUCCUGAAUUCUGUCUAUGGACAGAAUGGACCUCCUGGGGAUCCAUCAAGAGAGUUAGUGAGAAAGCUGGUUUAAAACCCAUGCCUCCUGACUUCGCUAAGUUCUCUAUCUAAUCCUACUCUUUUUUUUUUCUCUCUUAAUAAAGGGGAUUAGGUGGAAAAGAAUGAAUUUUAUUUAAACUGCUAGA